GAUGAACGCUGGCGGCGUGCCUAAUACAUGCAAGUCGAGCGAACGGACGAGAAGCUUGCUUCUCUGAUGUUAGCGGCGGACGGGUGAGUAACACGUGGAUAACCUACCUAUAAGACUGGGAUAACUUCGUGAAACCGUAGCUAAUACCGGAUAAUAUUUUGAACCGCAUGGUUCAAAAGUGAAAGACGGUCUUGCUGUCACUUAUAGAUGGAUCCGCGCUGCAUUAGCUAGUUGGUAAUGUAACGGCUUACAAAGGCAACGAUGCAUAGCCGACCUGAGAGGGUGGUCGGCCACACUGGAACUGAGACACGGCCCAGACUCCUACGGGAGGCAGCAGUAGGGAAUCUUCCGCGAUGGGCGAAAGCCUGACGGAGCAACGCCGCGUGAGUGAUGAAGGUCUUCGGAUCGUAAAACUCUGUUAUUAGGGAAGAACAUAUGUGUAAGUAACUGUGCACAUCUUGACGGUACCUAAUCAGAAAGCCCCGGCUAACUACGUG
rnacentral:rRNA from 1 species